UACCAGCACCCCGGAGUGGUCGGGACGAUUAUUGGGCCUAAAGCAUCCGUAGCCGGCCUUACAAGUCCUCCGUUAAAUCCAGCUGCUUAACAGAUGGGCUGCGGAGGAUACUAUAAGACUAGGAGGCAGGAGAGGCAAGCGGUACUCAGUGGGUAGGGGUAAAAUCCGUUGAUCCAUUGAAGACCACCAGUGGCGAAGGCGGCUUGCCAGAAUGCGCUCGACGGUGAGGGAUGAAAGCUGGGGGGAGCAAACCGGG
rnacentral:rRNA from 1 species